CUGAACAUAGAGGAACCCUCUUAUUCUGUUUUUCCGCUACUGCUUCUCAGACUGUUUUCAAAGUUUGGACAUUAUGAAAGCUUGUGAACCAACUUCAUCCACUAUUACAAUAAGGGUAGCAACUGGAAAUCUUUAAAAUACGGACUGCGCACUUCUCAGGCGCGUGCAAAGAGGUAUUUCCUGUAUCAUUGAGACAACAGUCUUGAGAAGAUUGAAAAAGAGGGAAGUAAUUGGUUUUAUCUCUACUUUGGAGGCAGAAAAACAGACUGCAUGAGUCACACAGGGAGAGACAGGAGCACCUCCCAAAACACCCCAAGUUGUAGCCCAAGCCCUUCUCCAUAGUUCUCUCCUGUAUCCUGCUGUGAGACAGGAGCCUGUCAGCAGUGAAACUGUGAAAAAUCGGGAGACGUUUAGAAUUUGCUUAGGACUCUCAACUUCCAAAGGAAGAUC